UGUGGGAGCGGGCUUGCCCGCGAUAGCGGUAUGUCAGUGACAGAUUUGCUGGCUGACACGCCGCUAUCGCGGGCAAGCCCGCUCCCACA
rnacentral:misc_RNA from 1 species